rnacentral:lncRNA from 1 species
GACGCCCUUGUCCAUCCUGUGGACAAUCUCUAACUCUGUGACCCAUGUCACCACACCGGAAACAACCCCACUUCUCACCCUAACACUCACCCGAAUGAGCCCUACCACACUUUGGACACAGAGGACGAUUUGGCUUACUGCCAGCAAUAUACUGGGACCUGGAUGCAUAUGACCUGCUACCUUGCUCUUGCCUAUCUCUAGGCAUUGGAGCACUAGUAGAUGACGGUGCUGGCAUAGAUGAUCGAUGAUGGUGCUGGCAUAGACGAACGAUCCUGAUACUGAGGGUGACUCCCUCCAUGUGAUCUAGUUUGACCCUGUCCGUGCUGCUCGAACCUAGCUCUCUUAUUCU